AGCUUUGCACAGUGGCAGUAUCUUAGCCGAUGAGGUUUAUCCGAGGCACAAUUAUUGCUAAUUGAAGUUUGCUUUGUCAGUUUUUGAUUCAUGUACUUUGGGACCCUGUUGUUAGG
rnacentral:snRNA from 1 species